GCCCCUGUAGCUCAAUGGACAGAGCACCAGCCUUCUAAGCUGUUGGUUGAGGGUUCGAAUCCCCCCAGGGGCGCUA
rnacentral:tRNA from 1 species